rnacentral:tRNA from 1 species
AGAAACUUAGGUUAAACUAAACCGGAAGCCUUCAAAGCCUCAAAUAGGGUAUAAACCCCUAGAUUCUG